GACGAACCGUGCGAACGUUGUUCGGAAUCACUGGGCUUAAAGGGCGCGUAGGCGGGCUGACAAGUCAGGGGUGAAAGCCCGCAGCUCAACUGCGGAAGGGCCUCUGAUACUGCCAGUCUGGAGGGAGGUAGGGGCGUGCGGAACUUCCGGUGGAGCGGUGAAAUGCGUAGAUAUCGGAAGGAACACCGGUGGCGAAAGCGGCGCGCUGGACCUCUUCUGACGCUGAGGCGCGAAAGCCAGGGGAGCAAACGGG
rnacentral:rRNA from 1 species